GUUGGGUAGGGGAGCGUUCUGUAAGCCUGCGAAGGUGUGCUGUGAGGCAUGCUGGAGGUAUCAGAAGUGCGAAUGCUGACAUAAGUAACGAUAAUGCGGGUGAAAAACCCGCACGCCGGAAGACCAAGGGUUCCUGUCCAACGUUAAUCGGGGCAGGGUGAGUCGACCCCUAAGGCGAGGCUGAAAAGCGUAGUCGAUGGGAAACGGGUUAAUAUUCCCGUACUGGUGGUAACUGCGAUGGGGGAACGGAGAAGGCUAGGUUGUCCGGGCGACGGUCGUCCCGGUUCAAGCAUGUAGGCAGAGUGAUUAGGCAAAUCCGGUCACUUAAUGCUGAGGUGUGAUGACGAGCCACUAAGGUGGUGAAGCAAUUGAUGCCCUGCUUCCAGGAAAAGCCUCUAAGCUUCAGGUUACCAACAAUCGUACCCCAAACCGACACAGGUGGUCAGGUAGAGAAUACUCAGGCGCUUGAGAGAACUCGGGUGAAGGAACUAGGCAAAAUGGUGCCGUAACUUCGGGAGAAGGCACGCUGGCGGUAAGUGAAGUCCCUUGCGGACGGAGCCGAAGCCAGUCGAAGAUACCAGCUGGCUGCAACUGUUUAUUAAAAACACAGCACUGUGCAAACACGAAAGUGGACGUAUACGGUGUGACGCCUGCCCGGUGCUGGAAGGUUAAUUGAUGGGGUUAUCCUUAGGGAGAAGCUCUUGAUCGAAGCCCCAGUAAACGGCGGCCGUAACUAUAACGGUCCUAAGGUAGCGAAAUUCCUUGUCGGGUAAGUUCCGACCUGCACGAAUGGCGUAAUGAUGGCCAGGCUGUCUCCACCCGAGACUCAGUGAAAUUGAACUCGCUGUGAAGAUGCAGUGUACCCGCGGCAAGACGGAAAGACCCCGUGAACCUUUACUAUAGCUUGACACUGAACAUUGAGCCUUGAUGUGUAGGAUAGGUGGGAGACUAUGAAGUGUGGACGCCAGUCUGCAUGGAGUCAACCUUGAAAUACCACCCUUUAACGUUUGAUGUUCUAACCUAGGCCCGUAAUCCGGGUCGGGGACCGUGUCUGGUGGGUAGUUUGACUGGGGCGGUCUCCUCCUAAAGAGUAACGGAGGAGCACGAAGGUUGGCUAAGCAUGGUCGGACAUCAUGCGGUUAGUGCAAAGGCAUAAGCCAGCUUGACUGUGAGAGUGACGGCUCGAGCAGGUACGAAAGUAGGUCUUAGUGAUCCGGUGGUUCUGAAUGGAAGGGCCAUCGCUCAACGGAUAAAAGGUACUCCGGGGAUAACAGGCUGAUACCGCCCAAGAGUUCAUAUCGACGGCGGUGUUUGGCACCUCGAUGUCGGCUCAUCACAUCCUGGGGCUGAAGUAGGUCCCAAGGGUAUGGCUGUUCGCCAUUUAAAGUGGUACGCGAGCUGGGUUUAGAACGUCGUGAGACAGUUCGGUCCCUAUCUGCCGUGGGCGUUGGAAGAUUGAGAGGGGUUGCUCCUAGUACGAGAGGACCGGAGUGAACGCACCACUGGUGUUCGGGUUGUCAUGCCAAUGGCAUUGCCCGGUAGCUAAGUGCGGAAGAGAUAACCGCUGAAAGCAUCUAAGCGGGAAACUUGCCUCGAGAUGAGUCUUCCCUGUCACCUUGAGUGACCUAAAGGAACGUUUAAGACUAAGACGUUGAUAGGCUGGGUGUGUAAGCGUAGCGAUACGUUGAGCUAACCAGUACUAAUGAACCGUGAGGCUUAACCUG
rnacentral:rRNA from 1 species